CCUACGGGAGACAGCAGUGGGGAAUAUUGCACAAUGGGCGAAACCCUGAUGCAGCAAAGCCGCGUGAAGGAAGACGGUUUUCUGAUUGUAAACUUCUGUUUUUAGUGAAGAAUAAGGACGGUAGCUAAGGAGCUAGCCACGGCUAACUACGUGCCAGCAGCCGCGGUAAUACGUAGGUGGCAAGCGUGGUCCGGAAUUACUGGGUGUAAAGGGAGCGCAGGCGGGAAGACAAGUCAGCUGUGAAAACUACGGGCUCAACUUGUAGACUGCAGUUGAAACUGGUUUUCUUGAGUGAAGUAGAGGUUGGCGGAAUUCCGGGUGUAGCGGUGAAAUGCGUAGAUAUUCGGAGGAACACCGAUGGCGAAGGCAGCCAACUGGGCUUUAACUGACGCUGAGGCUCGAAAGUGUGGGGAGCAAACAGGAUUAGAUACCCUAGUAGUC
rnacentral:rRNA from 1 species